rnacentral:rRNA from 1 species
GAUGAACGCUGGCGGCGUGCCUAAUACAUGCAAGUCGAACGCAGUGGGGACGGGUGAGUAACACGUGGGUAACCUCCCAUCAGAGGGGAUAACACUUGGAAACAGGUGCUAAACCGAUACUGAUGGAUGGACCCGCGGUGCAUUAGCUAGUUGGUGAGGUAACGGCUCACCAAGGCCACGAUGCAUAGCCGGCCUGGGAGGGGUAUCGGCCAAACUGGGAUUGAGCCCCGGCCCGGACUCCUACGGGGGGCAGCAGUAGGGAAUCUUCGGCAAUGGACGAAAGUCUGACCGGGAAACGCCGCGUGAGUGAAGAAGGUUUUCGGAUCGUAAACCUCUGUUGUUAGAGAAGCGGUAUCUAACCAGAAAGCCACGGCUAACUACGUGCCAGCCGCCGCGGUAAUUC